AAGGACAGCAGAGUCCUACCUGACACUGGGCCUUCCUGAGGAGACGGAAAGCAGUGAACCUCUGUAAAAGCUUAGAGUCUCCUAAGCAAGGGCAGGGCACACACCGGGACAGAACAGCAAAUCGAUGACUUUAGUCGCUAAACUAAAGCUUCAUUCUCCUUAAGAAUGACUCUCCUCCAUCGCCACCCCUCACCCCACUUGAGGACUUAUCUGGAAUUUCAAAUGUUUGUUCCUGCAAAUGCAUCUUCCAUCCUGGGUGACAGGAAGUGUCUGGUUCCAUGACGAUGAAGCAGCCACAAGGCCUCUCUGUGUCAGUGCUGGAGAGAGAGAGCUUCCUUCCUCCUGUCCUGGACCCCUCCUGGAGGGACGCUCCCAAGGCUGAGAUGACACAGUCAUUUCCCGCAUGCUGUCUAGCACUGACCCACCCAUCGCCCUUGUCCUGGUGCUGGUCUGCAGCAGCAGUGAGGGGGACCCCUUUGUGUGAGGGCUGCACUGGCCAUCGUUCAGGAAAAGGCAAUAGAGCCUCUGCAGUCUUUGAACGCCCUCGGUGCCUCCAGCGCAUUGGCCUUAGGACAACACUCCUUACGGGGGGUCUCUGAAGUCUGCCCGGAAGACACUCUUCCAGCCCACCGGGUCCUGCAGCCAAAGUGCAUGGUGUCCCCUGGCCCUGGAACAAGUCUCUGUGUGACCCUGAGGGUCCCUGUAGAAACAGCCACAUGGCCCCUCCUUCAUGGAGCCCAGCGUUCCUUGUUGAUUUUCGGCUUUCUUACCUGGCCUCCGCUGUCCAUCCUUGAGGUGGGCUGGUGCUCUAGGGACUUCCUGCAAUGACGGGUUUGUGUUGGGUACAGAAAGAAGCUAUUGUAGAACCGUCCGACGAUGGAGCCUUCAGGGACGCGGUGGCCCCGGAGCACAUGGUGACAUGCUGGAGAAGCUGGGCAGUGCCCAGGAGUUGGCACGUGGGGACUCGGUUCGCUGAGUUCGCUGAAAGCAAAUCCGUGUUUUGCAUGAGCGGCCUGUGUGUCUGCUGGCUCUAAACCUGCCUUGUUUUGUCCAGCUGUGGCUGGGAUCUGUGACUCCUUGGAAGGCAUUUCACCUCACUCAGAGUCACAAAAUUCAAGCAAUGACAAGAACAGUGCCUGGAGUAGAAUACCAUUUAAAUUUUAUUUAUAUUCAUUUAUUCACUGUCAAAUAUCCUUUUUAUUUAACCAAAUUUCAAACUGUUAGAAACAGUGGAGGUUAUGGAACCCAGAGUCAGGCAGAUCCUCAGAGUUUGUCUUUAUUUGCAGCUGUGAGCACAGAACUCACGUAUGUUCAUCUCAGAAAGAUCACAGAAGCACAGGUGCUUAGAAGAGCUGACACCAAGCAUGUGGAAGGAAUUUAACUUCUUCAUGUAUUGGUACAACUGAAACAAAUUAUGCCUAAGCUGGGGAGACCUGCACCAGCUACUGGAUUGGUUGAGGAAGAUGAGAUAAUAUGAUACCCUAUUUAAUAGGAAGAUUAUUUUACAUAUAAUUUUCCACAUAUAAUUUAGGGAAAAUAGUAAUUUAUUAAAGGACUCUCAGGGACUUGUAGUUGAGAAAAUGUUAACUAUUUGGGUUAAGGGACAUGUUCACUAACUCUGAGAUUUAUAGCAUAGUUGUGAGUGGCUGACAUUUACUAUCUACUAUUUAUUUUUAACGAGUAUAUAUGAUUAAUAAUUAGUAUUUACAAAGUACUUCCACAAAAAUCUUCUUCUGGUGCCCAUGACAAUCCUGUGAGGUAGAUAUUGUGGGUAUUUUAUAUCUACACUAUAUUUUAAAGCUAAAAGAACCAAAGCCGAAAUGAAUAGUUGGCUUGCUCAGGGCACCCACCCAGCCAGCACGUGGAGGUGUCUGAAAUUAACCUCAGGCUUCUUAUUUCCAAAACCAAUCUGUUGCCCAAGGUCCCAGCUCACAACUAGAGCAGAAGCCUCUUUGAACAGAUCACAGCUUAUGUAUGUAUUCACGUGUAAUCUCCACAGUAGCUACGCUAGGUCAUUGCAUGUACAUGAAGGUACGUGAAGGAAUGGAUGGAAUUAUCUUACAUUAGGGAAGAUGCUAACCUCCCAGCUGAAUUUUGGCGUUAGCAUGACACUUAGCAUCUUUCUUGGCUGUUAAAAUAAAGCAUAACAGGGUGGCAGGAGAGGAUGAUAUACCACCACUAAAUACAGUUGGAUCCCAAAGGUGUGUACUUGGCCUCUCUGUUUCUAUUGGUUCAUUGCCUUUUUCUUAUUCAAAAACAUAUUUAAAAUUUUGAAGUAUUUAAAACAAAAAACAAAUGCAAGUACCACAUACCCAUUCCUCAUGCCCUCGCCAAAUGGAUCUGGGGCAAGUUAGAAUGCUGCUCCAUUUCCUUCAAAUAGUUAAUUUUCAAACAAUAAGUAAUGUGUAAAAACUGUAUCUAAAGCCUCUCCCUCCAUCACAGAGUUAGCCACAGCUCUGAAGUCAGGACGGAUGUCUGCUAAGUUUGCCUAUAUUUACCUAUUUUUUCCUAUACUUAUAGGUACAUGCGUGUACCUGAAACACCGCCAAGCAUCCUUUUACAUUUUCAUGCUUUGAAUAAAUGUCAUCAUUUUU
rnacentral:lncRNA from 1 species